rnacentral:rRNA from 1 species
AUCCUGAGUACGACGGAGCACGUGAAAUUCCGUCGGAAUCUGGGAGGACCAUCUCCUAAGGCUAAAUACUCUCUAGUGACCGAUAGUGAACCAGUACCGUGAGGGACAGGUGAAAAGUACCCCGGAAGGGGAGUGAAAGAGAACUUGAAACCGUGUGCUUACAAGUAGUCAGAGCCCGUUAAUGGGUGAUGGCGUGCCUUUUGUAGAAUGAACCGGCGAGUUACGAUC